rnacentral:lncRNA from 1 species
CCUUACUUAGUGAAAAGCAUAAUAGUUAGAUAAAGAUUAAAGAGAAAAAAAAAUAGCAAGUAUGAGGGCCCAUGGCCACCCAUACAUACCAACAUCUCCCACUUGGCCAUGAAGGCCAGAUAUAUUGAUAUAAUACUACUUAAUGAGCAUGUCUUUGUUAUGAGACUUUUCACGUUAGUGCAGUUAUACAGCUCAUAACAAAAAAUAUCUACAGUCAUGUCAUGAGUUUUUUACGCUAAUGUGGCUUUUCCUGUCAUGAUCAAGACAUCAAAUAAAAAUAUCCCAUUUGAGAGUUCUUGGCUUAAAUAUUUUUAAGUCUCAUCAAAGCUACAUGCUUUGAUAAUAUUUCUGCACCCAAUCCCUUUGUUAAAGGGUUUGCAAUCAUAUCUGAAGAUGGAAAAUAACUUACAGUUAUUUUAUUUUUUUCAAUAAUAUCAUAAAUAUAAUGAUAAUCAAUUUUAAUGUACUUACCCU